rnacentral:hammerhead_ribozyme from 1 species
GCACUGUUGACAAGUCCUAAACAGGACGAAACGGUUGUCCAGUGC